GUUUCCCUGGCAACAAGGCAAUGGGUUUGGUAGUCAGCCAACAUACUGCUCCAUUUAAAAGCUUUUAAUAAUAGAGAAGUCAUUUUGAGAUGGGGAGAAGGAGGAUUUGCUUUUUUCUGGUAUGAUGCAGAAAAUAAGUAAACACUUCUGGUCUGCAGUUUGACCUAGAAAGCAAGGAAAAGCUUUUCACUGAAAAAAUGUGAGGCACUUUAAGAGGAAGCAACACAAGGAGAAAUCAGACAAAAUGGUAACAUGCUGUAUUAACUGUAGGCUGUAGUACAAACAGCAUGCUGCCUGCUGUAAUCUGCUGUCUUUUCCUAGCUGUUUGUGGCAGACAAUGGAUCCCUGGAGGAGGGGUUUCUUUGACCAGAUAUACCCUCCCCCAUUCAGGUCUCUGCAAGUUCUCCCCCUCUUCUCAGGCACCUUAAUCCACAAUUUAAUGAGCAUUGCCCCCCCCGGCUGUUGCUCCUUUUUUUCUACCUCUUUCUAUGCUCUCAUAUUUCUCUCAAGAGCAUUUGUGCACUAAAAUCUUUUACACAAAUGCAAAGACAGUAAAAUUCAAAAUGACACUUUCUCUGCAGCAGUUUGCUUCCUGCUUUGACUCUGCAUUUUACUUCUGUCACCUGAAAAUUUCAGAAAUAUUUAAGUAAUGUGUUCUUACUUCAUUAGUGCCACUGGUUGCUAGAUUGGAUUAGAUCCUCAAUGCUUCUCACUAGAAGGUGAGACGUGGCUGGUGCAUUGUCAUACUGCAAAUUGGAAGCUUCUGACAAAUGUUAAUCUCUGUUGUUAAAGAAGUGACAGAAAUGUUCCUGAAAGGUUUCUAGAGGUGUGCAAAGAAGUUUGAUUAGUCUUGUGAUGAAGGACAGCUGGAAAGGGCCUUCAAACAGGCAAUUGAGACAUUGGCCAAUCAGAGGCCACUACACUCUGCUGCUCUGCAGAGGAGAACCUUGUUUGUGGAGGGACCAGAGGAGAGUGUUUGCUGGGACUGCACAGACGUAUUUGGUGUUGCUUGUCAUUUUCUCUGAGUGCGUGCAUUCUACUGGUCAGAAACAAAUACCAGAGUGACUAAGAGCUACUGAGAUGCUGAAGAACUGGUUCUCAACUCACGACCCAGCACUGUGGAGAGAUCUACGAGACAUCGCCAACUACAGGAGACCCUCCCUCCCUGCUGAGGCAAACAAAGACCUAGCCAACAACCUCAGUAUCUUCUACUGUACAUUUGAAAGGGGCACAUCCAUAGCCCAUCUCUCAUCAACAUCACAACCACACCAGCAGCCCCCAUCACACCUCAAGCUGCACCUCUAACUGCCCAUCCUUGCCACAUUCAAGAGGAAGUGAGCUGACUCUUCAAGAGGCAGAAAACCAGGAAAGCACUAGGCCCAGACCCUCCUGUCUUAAAGCCUGUGCUGACCAGCUGGCACCAAUCUUCACCAGGAUCUUCAACAGCGAAGUCCCCUCUAUAUUCAACAAUCACCUCAACAACCUGGACUGUCAGCACUGCUGCCCCCCAAUGUGCUGUCUCCACUACUCUUCUUCUUCUACACCAAUGAAUGCACCUCCAAGCACCCCGCAGUUAAACUCCUGAAGUUUGCAAAUGACACAACAAUCAUCAGCCUGAUUCAGGAUGGGGAUGAGUCUGCAUAUCAGCAGGAGGUUGAGCGGCUGGUGUUUUGAUGCAGCCAGAACAACCUGAAGCGGAACAUGCUAAAGACUUCACUGCUCCUCCUGACCAUCAGCAACAAGAACUGUGUCAGCUGUGGAGUCCGUCAAGCUCCUAGGGACUACAAUCUCUCAGGACCUGAAGUGGGAGAUGAACAUCUGCUCCAUCCUGAAAAAGGCUCAGCGGAGGAUAUAUUUCCUGCAACACAUGAGCUGUUGAUCCAGUUGUACUUUGCAGUCAUUAAAUCUAGAGUGACACUGACAGCUGAAACCAAAUUCCUUCUAUGUUGUGUACAUAUUUGGCCAUUAAAUCUGACUCUGAUUCUGA